AGAGUUUGAUCCUGGCUCAGAAUCAACGCUGGCGGCGUGCCUAACACAUGCAAGUCGAACGCGAAAGGGGCUUCGGCCCUGAGUAGAGUGGCGAACGGGUGAGUAACGCGUGGGUGACCUACCUUCGAGUGGGGGAUAACGUUCCGAAAGGAGCGCUAAUACCGCAUGAAGUUCCGGGUUUGAACAUCUGGAAACCAAAGCCGGGGAUCGCAAGACCUGGCGCUUGGAGGGGGGCCCGCGUCUGAUUAGCUAGUUGGCGGGGUAAUGGCCCACCAAGGCGACGAUCAGUAGCCGGCCUGAGAGGGCGGACGGCCACACUGGGACUGAGACACGGCCCAGACUCCUACGGGAGGCAGCAGUGGGGAAUUGUUCGCAAUGGGCGCAAGCCUGACGACGCAACGCCGCGUGGGGGAUGAAGGUCUUCGGAUUGUAAACCCUUGUCGAGCGGGACGAAUGGCCCGCGACCUAACACGUCGUGGGAGUGACGGUACCGCUAAAGGAAGCCACGGCUAACUCUGUGCCAGCAGCCGCGGUAAUACAGAGGUGGCAAGCGUUGUUCGGAAUUACUGGGCGUAAAGGGCGCGUAGGCGGCCUUCUAAGUUCAGACGUGAAAUCCCCCGGCUUAACCUGGGAACUGCGUCUGAUACUGGA
rnacentral:rRNA from 1 species